AUUCUGUGUUGUGGGCACUUCCUCAAUGUUUCCUUGUAUCUUUCCUAAGUGUCAUAUAAGGACUCCAAUUCUAAUUGAAAAAAGUAUGAAAUAUCACUCCUCAGCUU